rnacentral:rRNA from 1 species
GAUGAACGCUGGCGGCGUGCUUAACACAUGCAAGUCGAACGGAAAGGCCCUGCUUUUGUGGGGUGCUCGAGUGGCGAACGGGUGAGUAACACGUGAGUAACAUGCCCUUGUCUUUGGGAUAACUUUAGGAAACUGGGGCUAAUAUCGGAUAGGAGCUCCUGCUGCAUGGUGGGGGUUGGAGAGAUUCGGCGGUUUGGGAUGGACUCGCGGCUUAUCAGCUUGUUGGUGGGGUUGUGGAUUACCAAGGCUUUGACGGGUAGCCCGCCUGAGAGGGUGACCGGCCACAUUGGGACUGAGAUACGCCCCAGACUCCUACGGGAGGCAGCAGUGGGGAAUAUUGCGCAAUGGGCGGAAGCCUGAUGCAGCAACGCCGCGUGCGGGAUGACCGCCUUCGGGUUAUAAACCGCUUUCUCCUGUGACGAAGCGUUAGUGACGGUAAUGGGUAAAGAAGCACCGGCUAACUACGUG